GUGGGUGUGGCGGUAUUGGUUGUACGCAAAGGUCUUAAAAACCUUCAGAGGGCUUAAAAUGCAUUCCUCUUGUGAGUUCGAAUCUCAUCACCCGUAC
rnacentral:tRNA from 1 species